UCGAAACGUGGCUGACGUUUAAAUUUUGGAUUGUCUUGUCAUAAUUGUAUAAAUCCAACAAGAGUGAAGCGUAGGCACUUUUACAAAAACUGCUCAAAGGAUUGCAAUAAUUAGUGUGUUAAAUUGCUCUCAAUUAUAAAAAAAAAUGGAUCAAAUCGCAAAGUUUGUAGAGCCAGGCAAGCAGUUCGCUAAAGACUCUAUCAGAUUAGUGAGAAGAUGCACAAAACCAGACAGAAAAGAAUUCCAAAAGAUUGCAAUUGCCACUGCUAUCGGAUUCUGCAUCAUGGGAUUCAUCGGUUUCUUUGUUAAAUUAAUUCAUAUCCCCAUCAACAACAUUAUUGUUGGAUCGUAAGCUUUAGUUAGUUGCUUAGAUAUAAUUUUUAACUUUAAGCCCGGAAGCCCUCUAAUUUAAAUUCUCAAUUCUCCUCCAAAUGCAGUAUGAUUUAAAUAAAUAAAUUAUAGCAAAUUUUUUAUUUA